UACUCUGAUGAUUAUUCUUUAAAAUUUAUUAACUUUCGUUCUACCGAAUAAAAACUAUGUUUUUUUACAUCAAACGAUGUUGGGGAAAACUUUAUUAAUCUGAUU
rnacentral:snoRNA from 1 species